GUUAGGGGGUUUACGCAACUUAGAGAUGCAGAUAACGCAUUAAGCACUCUGCGUGGGGAGUACGGUCGCAAGACUGAAACUCAAAGGAAUUGACGGGGGCCCGCACAAGUGGUGGAGCAUGUGGUUUAAUUCGAAGCAACGCGAAGAACCUUACCAGGUCUUGACAUCCUCUGACAACCCUAGAGAUAGGGCUUUCCCUUCGGGGACAGAGUGACAGGUGGUGCAUGGUUGUCGUCAGCUCGUGUCGUGAGAUGUUGGGUUAAGUCCCGCAACGAGCGCAACCCUUGAUCUUAGUUGCCAGCAUUUAGUUGGGCACUCUAAGGUGACUGCCGGUGACAAACCGGAGGAAGGUGGGGAUGACGUCAAAUCAUCAUGCCCCUUAUGACCUGGGCUACACACGUGCUACAAUGGACAGAACAAAGGGCUGCGAGACCGCAAGGUUUAGCCAAUCCCACAAAUCUGUUCUCAGUUCGGAUCGCAGUCUGCAACUCGACUGCGUGAAGCUGGAAUCGCUAGUAAUCGCGGAUCAGCAUGCCGCGGUGAAUACGUUCCCGGGCCUUGUACACACCGCCCGUCACACCACGAGAGUUUGCAACACCCGAAGUCGGUGAGGUAACCUUUAUGGAGCCACGCCGCCGAAGGGGACCGAGU
rnacentral:rRNA from 1 species